CCUACGGGUGGCAGCAGUGAGGAAUAUUGGUCAAUGGGCGAGAGCCUGAACCAGCCAAGUCGCGUGAAGGAUGACGGCCCUACGGGUUGUAAACUUCUUUUGUCAGGGGACAAUCGGGUCCACGCGUGGGCUUAGCGAGAGUACCUGAAGAAAAAGCAUCGGUUAAUCCGGUGCCAGCAGCCGCGGUAAAACGGAGGAUGCGAGCGUUAUCCGGAUUUUUGGGGUUUAAAGGGUGCGUAGGCGGAAUAUCAAGUCAGCGGUAAAAAUUCGGGGCUAAACCGCGUCGGGCCGUUGAAACUGGUGUGCUGGAGUGGGCCGGAGGUAGGCGGAAUGCGUGGUGUAGCGGUGAAAUGCUUAGAUAUCACGCAGAACUCCGAUUGCGAAGGCAGCAUACCGUCGCCUAACUGACGCUGAGGCACGAAAGCGUGGGUAUCGAACAGGAUUAGAUACCCGAGUAGUC
rnacentral:rRNA from 1 species